rnacentral:tRNA from 2 species
GCUGAUGUAGCACAGUCGGUAGUGCGUCGCAUUGGUAGUGCGGAGGUCACGGGUCCGAUUCCCGUCAUCAGCUCUA